rnacentral:lncRNA from 1 species
UUUUUCUGUGGUCCAUUAUUAUCAUAGCAGGGAGCAUGGAAGCAUGCAGGCAGUAGCUAGAAUAGUCUGAGACCUUCACAUCCAGAUCCAUGCUACCAGCAAAGAGAGCCUGGGUCUGGCUUGGGCAUUUGAAACCCCAAAGCCCACCCCAUCCCCACCCGCCCCGGGGCACAGUUCCUCUAACAAGGCCACAGCUCCUAAUGCCACUCCCUAAGUGUUCAUUCAACUCUGAGUCUGUGAGGGGUGUCUUUACUCAGACCACCAUAGUUGUGGGGAGUUAAACAGGGGCUUUCUCUCUAGUCUUGACUCUACUCGAACUCUAUCCACCUGCUGGAUUAAAGGUGUGUCUCACCAGACCCCACACAUAUCUCUUAAGCUUUGAAGCAACUUCAAAUGUUCUACAAACAGCUACUGCGUGUGAAUUCUGUAAAAUACUUUUGUGUGCAGUAUUAGUGAGGGUUUUUUUUAUACUAGUUUAAUGGCCUAUCACACAAACAGAAAUCAAACUCACUAGUUAACCUUGGACUCAAAAGUCUUAUUUUACCCUUGCCAAAAACAUGUCAUGGGUGUGGAGAGAUGGUUUGACUGCUGAGAGCGUAGGCUGCUCUGCUCUGCUCUGCUCUGCUCUUGUAGAGGACCCAGGUUCUUCAGUUCCAGCACCCACCUGGCGACUUAGAGUGAUAGUAAUUCCAGUUCCGGGGGGGGCCUGAUGCCCUCUGCAGACUAAGAGGGGUGCCAUGCAUACAGGCAAAGCACUCACACACAUAAAAUAAAAAUGAAUCCUUUUUUCUUUUUAAGUAAAACAAUCUAAACCAUUCUCGUCUAGGUAGAAAUUUAUUUACUGAACAAGUUGGUACUUUGCUUCUUUAAACUGUUAUAGAAAUGUUUCUAGAAUUGUGACAUUAGAAUACGUUUUUUUCUUUUAUACUUUCUUGCUUGUGUGUGGCCCUUGACAUACAUGCAGGCAAAACACCCAUAUACAUCAAAUAACAAUAAAAAAUAUUUACAAACAACUCUUUCAAGCUGUCAGAACUAAAAAAAAAAAAAA